rnacentral:rRNA from 1 species
UGGGGAAUAUUGGACAAUGGGCGAAAGCCUGAUGGAGCAACGCCGCGUGAGUGAAGAAGGAUUUCGGUUCGUAAAACUCUGUUGUAAGGGAAGAACAAGUACAGUAGUAACUGGCUGUACCUUGACGGUACCUUAUUAGAAAGCCACGGCUAACUACGUGCCAGCAGCCGCGGUAAUACGUAGGUGGCAAGCGUUGUCCGGAAUUAUUGGGCGUAAAGCGCGCGCAGGUGGUUUCUUAAGUCUGAUGUGAAAGCCCACGGCUCAACCGUGGAGGGUCAUUGGAAACUGGGAGACUUGAGUGCAGAAGAGGAUAGUGGAAUUCCAAGUGUAGCGGUGAAAUGCGUAGAGAUUUGGAGGAACACCAGUGGCGAAGGCGACUAUCUGGUCUGUAACUGACACUGAGGCGCGAAAGCGUGGGGAGCAAACA